GACGAACGCUGGCGGCGUGCUUAACACAUGCAAGUCGAACGGUAAGGCCCUUCGGGGUACACGAGUGGCGAACGGGUGAGUAACACGUGGGUGAUCUGCCCUGCACUUCGGGAUAAGCCUGGGAAACUGGGUCUAAUACCGGAUAGGACCACUGCCUGCAUGGGUGGUGGUGGAAAGCUUUUGCGGUGUGGGAUGGGCCCGCGGCCUAUCAGCUUGUUGGUGGGGUGAUGGCCUACCAAGGCGACGACGGGUAGCCGGCCUGAGAGGGUGACCGGCCACACUAGGACUGAGAUACGGCCUAGACUCCUACGGGAGGCAGCAGUGGGGAAUAUUGCACAAUGGGCGCAAGCCUGAUGCAGCGACGCCGCGUGAGGGAUGACGGCCUUCGGGUUGUAAACCUCUUUCAGCACCGACGAAGCGCAAGUGACGGUAGGUGCAGAAGAAGGACCGGCCAACUACGUGCCAGCCGCCGCGGUAAUAC
rnacentral:rRNA from 1 species